UACAGAGGGUGCGAGCGUUAAUCGGAAUUACUGGGCGUAAAGCGCGCGUAGGCGGCUUUGCAAGUCGGGUGUGAAAUCCCCAGGCUUAACCUGGGAACUGCAUUCGAGACUGCAUUGCUAGAGUAUGGGAGAGGGAAGUGGAAUUUCCGGUGUAGCGGUGAAAUGCGUAGAUAUCGGAAGGAACAUCAGUGGCGACAGCGACUUCCUGGACCAAUACUUACGCUCAUGUGCGAAAGCGUGGGGAGCAAACAGG
rnacentral:rRNA from 1 species